rnacentral:rRNA from 1 species
GACGAACGCUGGCGGCGUGCUUAACACAUGCAAGUCGAGCGGUAAGGCCCUUCGGGUACACGAGCGGCGAACGGGUGAGUAACACGUGGGUGACCUGCCCUUAGCUCUGGGAUAAGCCUGGGAAACUGGGUCUAAUACCGGAUAUGACCUCAUGACGCAUGUUGUGGGGUGGAAAGCCUUGUGCGGCUAGGGAUGGGCCCGCGGCCUAUCAGCUUGUUGGUGGGGCGAUGGCCACCAAGGCGACGACGGGUAGCCGGCCUGAGAGGGCGACCGGCCACACUGGGACUGAGACACGGCCCAGACUCCUACGGGAGGCAGCAGUGGGGAAUCUUGCGCAAUGGGCGAAAGCCUGACGCAGCGACGCCGCGUGAGGGAUGACGGCCUCGGUUGUAACGU